UUGUAACUUUUUGCUACUAAACCCAACUUUAAUUAGUGUUUAUGUAAUGUUUUAAAAUAUUUAUAAAAUAUAGUACAACUUUAGUAAUUUUUCAUCGGCAGGAAAUUAUCUAUUAAUAUAAGUCUAUUAGUGUCUAUUAGGAUAUUAUAUUUUCAAAUCUCGUCUUUUAUUUAGUUAUUUUGAUUAGUUGGAAUUAUCUAUUAAUUGAUUUUUUUUAUCUAAUUUUAAAUUUUAACCAAAGUAAUCAAUUCCGAUCACCAUCCCACUGUAAUGUUAUUAUUUUAAAAAUUAAACUUCAUUUUAUUUAUUGAUUAAAAUCUUCAAGUACAUAGCCUUCAAAGAAGAUUGGAUAUAACCAAAAUAAUGCUGCAUAUAUCAUUUAGAGUCUUGCCAUUCUUCAAAAGCAACGAUGUAUCCUUAGGCGGCUGUGCGAACUUAUCCUGACAGUCACCAAUAUUAGUCAUGGCACCAGAAGUUACAAUAUUGACACCAGUAAAGUCCCCAAGUGCCAAGUCCUUUUGGGCAUUUUCUAUGUCACCAAUAGCUUCAUCAUAGCUCUCAGCACAAGACGAAUAUCGUUGCUUAAGUUGAGGAUUGGUGGCGGUUUUUGCUAGUGAGUUGGCUAGAGUCAAAGAUUUUUCAGCAUUUGUACGAGCAAGGUUUAAGGUGUAUACAGCCAAGCCUUUUAGAUUUGUAGUGCCUGCAGAUUUCAACACACUUGAACAAAAUUGUGGAUUUGAGGUUUUUGGACAGAUGGUGGAAACGACGUCAUUAGAUGAUGCCACAUUUGAAAUGAUAGUGAACGAAAGAACUCCAACGAGAGAGAUAAUAAUGAGACAAGAGUUAUUGGCCAUUUUAAUUUUUCUUUGUUGUUUCCCGUCCUUAUUGAUAUGAUUCAUUUGAUAAGUACAUAUAUAUAUAGAUGAAAUUUAGAGAAAUUGUUUGUUUUUCUUAUGGAGGAGAAAUGGCAGUUAUGAUUACAUAACUAAAUAACCCAUUCUAGUCUUUUGUUUGAUACUUUUAUCUUGAAAUAGCCCACCCAAAUCAAUUCAUGAAUAAUCACAUUAAUUGUCUUUUUUUUUUUUUUUACAUAAUUACAACUAAGAUGGGCUUUAUUUUUAUUUUUAUUCAAAAGAUACGACUAAGAUGUUAAAUUUUGAAUUUUCUCAUCAAUCCAUUAGAGGUGACCUAUGCUCCAAUCUUUUCUUACCAACAAUUUAGGCCUUAUAAGUGUAUAGAAAAUUGAACAGUGAAUAGGAUAGUUAGGCUUUGUAAAACUUAAAAGUUACAUAGUCCAAACUCUGAUGUCUCUUCCGUUCCUGUCCUGCUUUGAUUUUACCCCAUUCUUUUCUCAAAUACAUUUUUCUACAUUGUCGUUUCUUCUUCUCUAACUCAUUUUUUCCAAUUAUAUAACAUGUCCGUAUGUACCAGAAAUACAGUGAGCGGAAUUCAUGGAAGUUUUUCCCUGUUUCAAGUUCUAAGGGGGGACACGAAACUUAUGUGACAGAAAUCAAAGGAUAACGUGUCUACAGUAAAUCGAAAUAAGAGUCUGGUUUUCAUUGAGUUCAACGUGUUCCUCAAACAGAAACACAGGGCCGUAUGCAUACUUUCUACGACUACAAUAGUCAUCAUGCUAGAGUUAUGAGAUUAAAGUGAGGGAAUGACAAGAGAAGAUCAUGAACCAACGAAAAUUACAGAUGUGUUGAAAUUUGUUGUCAGAAUCUGUUUGAAUGAUGAACUUCAUGCAUACAAUUGUUGUGGUUGUCACAACUGGAAUCUAUUAAACAAAAUCAAAUACUUGAUAAUAACUACCUCUCCACACUGUUAUGUUUCUUGUUUUUUCGUUUUCAAUAAUUUGAUCGGUUUUAGACUUUUGGUUUAUUUUCAAUUAGAAGUAAAUGAAUGAAGGAAAAAGAUAACAGAAAAAGUUGAUUUUACUUUUACUAUCAUUUUCCUAUGCUUUUUAGUUUAUGGGGAUAGAUAUUUGUUGGUGUUCCUUUUCUUAAGUUAGAAGAAAAAAAGUUGGGGCAUAACUUUACAUGGACAAUCAAGUCAUUUUUUUUUCUUAA